GCAAGCAGUGUGAUGGGAAACUAUCACGCACGGUUUUGAGGGCAGUUGCCUAAAAGGCGCUGACGCCUAAUUUAUAC
rfam:Ophiocordyceps unilateralis strain SC16a Contig_4937, whole genome shotgun sequence.